GAUGAACGCUAGCGGCAGGCCUAAUACAUGCAAGUCGAACGGUGUCUUCGGACAUAGUGGCGCACGGGUGCGUAACACGUAUGCAACCUACCUUACAUUGGGGGAUAGCCUUUCGAAAGGGAGAUUAAUACCGCAUAAGACAGUAGCUGGGCAUCCAGCAGCUGUUAAAGAUUUAUCGAUGUAAGCUGGGCAUGCGUCCAGUUAGCUAGUUGGUGAGGUAACGGCUCACCAAGGCAAUGAUUGGUAGGGGAACUGAGAGGUCAAUCCCCCACACUGGCACUGAGAUACGGGCCAGACUCCUACGGGAGGCAGCAGUAGGGAAUAUUGGGCAAUGGACGCAAGUCUGACCCAGCCAUGCCGCGUGCAGGAUGAAGGCGUUAUGCGUUGUAAACUGCUUUAAUACAGGAAGAAACGACUCUUGCGAGAGGCAUUGACGGUACUGUAUGAAUAAGCACCGGCUAACUCCGUGCCAGCCGCCGCGGUAAUAC
rnacentral:rRNA from 1 species